AGCGAACGCUGGCGGCAGGCUUAACACAUGCAAGUCGAGCGGGCACUUCGGUGUCAGCGGCAGACGGGUGAGUAACACGUGGGAACGUACCCUUCGGUUCGGAAUAACGCUGGGAAACUAGCGCUAAUACCGAAUACGCCCUUUUGGGGAAAGUUGUACUGCCGAAGGAUCGGCCCGCGUCGGAUUAGCUAGUUGGUGGGGUAAUGGGCUACCAAGGCGACGAUCAGUAGCUGGUCUGAGAGGAUGAUCAGCCACACUGGGACUGGGACACGGCCCAGACUCCUGCUGGAGGCAGCAGUGGGGAAUAUAGGACAAUGGGCGCAAUCCUGAUCCAGCCAUGCCGCGUGAGUGAUGAAGGCCUUAGGGUUGUAAAGCUCUUUUGUCCGGGACGAUAAUGACGGUACCGGAAGAAUAAGCCCCGGCUAACUUCGUG
rnacentral:rRNA from 1 species